AACGAACGCUGGCGGCAUGCCUAACACAUGCAAGUCGAACGAGACCUUCGGGUCUAGUGGCGCACGGGUGCGUAACGCGUGGGAAUCUGCCCUUGGGUUCGGAAUAACUCGCCGAAAGGCGUGCUAAUACCGGAUGAUGUCGUAAGACCAAAGAUUUAUCGCCCAGGGAUGAGCCCGCGUAAGAUUAGGUAGUUGGUGAGGUAAAGGCUCACCAAGCCGACGAUCUUUAGCUGGUCUGAGAGGAUGAUCAGCCACACCGGGACUGAGACACGGCCCAGACUCCUACGGGAGGCAGCAGUGGGGAAUAUUGGACAAUGGGCGAAAGCCUGAUCCAGCAAUGCCGCGUGAGUGAUGAAGGCCUUAGGGUUGUAAAGCUCUUUUACCCGGGAUGAUAAUGACAGUACCGGGAGAAUAAGCUCCGGCUAACUCCGUGCCAGCAGCCGCCGUAA
rnacentral:rRNA from 1 species